rnacentral:miRNA from 1 species
CAGCUUGAAUUUGUUGCCUA